UGAACGCUGGCGGCAUGCCUUACACAUGCAAGUCGACCGGCAGCGCGGACUUCGGUCUGGCGGCGAGUGGCGAACGGGUGAGUAAUACAUCGGAACGUACCCUGUUGUGGGGGAUAACUAGUCGAAAGAUUAGCUAAUACCGCAUACGACCUGAGGGUGAAAGUGGGGGACCGGAAACGGCCUCAUGCAGCAGGAGCGGCCGAUGUCUGAUUAGCUAGUUGGUGGGGUAAAGGCCCACCAAGGCGACGAUCAGUAGCUGGUCUGAGAGGACGAUCAGCCACACUGGGACUGAGACACGGCCCAGACUCCUACGGGAGGCAGCAGUGGGGAAUUUUGGACAAUGGGGGCAACCCUGAUCCAGCAAUGCCGCGUGUGUGAAGAAGGCCUUCGGGUUGUAAAGCACUUUUGUCCGGAAAGAAAUCGCGCUGGUUAAUACCUGGCGUGGAUGACGGUACCGGAAGAAUAAGCACCGGCUAACUACGUG
rnacentral:rRNA from 1 species